GAAUUUUUGCGAGGGCGAUCUGGCUGUGACAUCUGUCACCCCAUUGAUCGCCAGGGUUGAUUCGGCUGAUCUGGCUGGCUAGGCUGGUGUCCCCUUCCUCCCUCACUGCUCCAUGUGCGUCCCUCCUGAAGCUGCGCGCUCGGUCGAAGAGGAUGACCAUCCCCGAUAGAGGAGGACCGUUCUUUGGUCAAGGGUAUACGAGUAGCUGCACUCCCCUGCUAGAACCUCCAAACAAGCUCUCAGGGUCCAAUUUUCUAAAAUCUUUCCAUGACCUCUGCAUUUCCCCCCACUUCUCAGCAAGUUGAAUGUGAUUGAUU
rnacentral:snRNA from 1 species